AUUCAAAGUUGACAACUGAAAAGAUCACCUCAACCAUUGUACCUUUAAGCACAGAAGAGAAGGCUCCACGGAUACCACAAGACUAGCCAUUAGCCUCAUCUUUUCUAUGCUUAGGCAGAGGCAAAGAUGCCGGAGCGCCGCAGUAAAAUGAAUGUAGUGGAAACUCUGGAAAGCAGGCCUGAAAUAUCAGGCUAAUUUAAAGCAAUCAGCCGAC